GUCUCUAUGAAGCCUGUCUUUGGUCAUCUCUGCCCUGUGGUCCUCCCUGCCAUUUUCCUCUGAAGAUGUUGGCAUGCAUUCUGUAUUCUCUUCAUUUCAAUCAAUGCGUUGCCUUUUGAGGAGCCUUUGACUUCACGUCUCCGAGCUGUUACUAACAUCUUGUAUUAUUGAUCAUCAUCUUCUUGAAGUGGAGACCUUUGAUACGCUUAAGUGUCCCAUGGAAAGUACCUGCUCUUCGUGUGACCAACUCAACAAGGGCAGGACUCAGGAUUCUGUCCUUUUUAGACUCAAAGCUUCCAUUUAUGAAGUGGUGACUGCAAUCCCGAUGCAGUAACACAUGCCUGUGGCUAUUGUGUCAGUCAGCUCUUCACACACAUACUCAGAAACACUCUGUCUGAUAGGUCAAACAAAAACCUGUCUCAAAAUAGUUGAGGUACUAUUUUGUUGUUGCUGUUGUUUGAUCUAUGGACAUAGACACCCAGGCUUUCCUGUAACCCCAUGCUCUGGGCAUCCUGGUGUUGCCCCUCAUCUACCUCUUUCUCUGCUAAUGACUUUUGCGUCUUUGAAGUACUUGGAUCACAGCUUCUUUAUGGUGAGCUUAAUGGCUUUGUUUUCUGUUUUGCCUCACAAAGUACGUUGCAGGCAUUGCUCAACAAUAUAUUUAAUUUGACUUAGUAUUCAUACAAGGGUUGAGACUGUCUGUGAUACUAAUGUUAGGGCUGGAAAUCGCGUCUUAUUCAUGGAAGGGGCUUGGGUUCUGCUGUUACUGGGUAAGGUUUGUGCUGAGAACUUUCAGCAUGAAGCAGACUUUGCCAGCCUAGCUCUCAGAUUGGUAUGUUGAUCCUACCCCUUUAUCCAUUUAGUCUUUUUUGUUGUUCCACCCACUCUGCGCGCGCACGUGUGUGUGUGUGUGUGUGUGUGUGUGUGUGUGUGUGUGUGUGUGUGUGUGGUGUGUGUAUGUGUGGUGUGUGUGUGUGUGUGUGUGUGUGUGUGUGUGUGUUUCUACCCUUGCAUGUGUGGAUGUCUGAGCUGAUGCCAAGUGUCAUCCUGUAUCAAAUGUCUCCUGUUUUUGGCACAGUCUCUUCCUGACCCUGCAGCUCACCACUGACUGGCUAGCAGAGAGGCCCCAGGAGGUUCCUGACUCUUUCCUGCCCCAGCACUAGGGUUAGAGAUGUGUUUACAUGGGUGCUAAGUUAUCCACGCUCAGGUCCCCUCAGGCUCGUAGAGCCAACAAUUUUCCCACUGACCUACCAUGGUAGACCCUACUCCUUCACAUAAAGCUUAGUAGUGGAUGUAAGUGAAUUCUUUUUGAUUUAGAGUUUGAUGUUUUCUCUGGGGUUUUCCUUUAAUCAGGAGCAAUGGCUCUGUGUGAUAAAAAAGCAUUAGAAUAUGAUAUGGUGUCUAAGUCAAACUCCUUGCCUGUGGUAGUUUCUAUUGAUCCACUGUAGUAUGAGGGCUGGGAAGGAGACACAUUGUCCCACCAAACGUGGUUCAUUAACACAGAAAGAAAUGGAUUGGUAGUCUGUCUUCUUAUGACCAGUUUACAGCGCUGAAGAAACUGGGUCUUCCUACCUACUGACUUCCUACCUAGUGAAGUCAUAUUUUACUGCUAGCCUGUGACAAUUGGCAGAGGGUGUAUUUAUGUGUAGAGGGGACAUACACAGCUAACUGAUGAGACAUGGGGUCAGCUUUCACCAGCUGUUUUGAUGGUCUUUGGUGCCAUAGUUGGCUUUUCUGGUUUUUCUCUUUCUUAUCCCAAUUCCAGGAGGCAAAAAAAGAGGGGAAGAGAUAUAAUUUGCAUCCUCUGUAUUGGAAAUGCUUGGAGGAUGCUUGGGUUUCCAGGAGAAAACCUGAAAGAGGAAAGGACUAGGGUGAAGGUGGUGUGGACAGGGUUUUUCAGAGGUACAUGAUCUGCAAGGUUCUUAGUUAAAAACAUCUAGAAACAUAGCAGUCCUGUCUAGUUCCUGUGCUGGGCAGGGACAGCUCUGAAGCCUUAGUUGGGUAGUCUAGUGGCAGCAUUCCAGUUUCUUUCCCCAGUAAUGGACUUCCCUGCUGGAAUUCGGAGCACCAGGGCCAUUUCCCUCAUCCUGGAAAUACAUAUAUUUGGCAGCACAUGUUCCUGUUAGAUGAGGGGAAGGCCCUAGGCUCUGUCUGUGUCUAUCCAUGAUUCUCCUUGGUACUGUGUUGUAGCAGCCUGGUCUGGAACACAAGGGCAUUUGAACAUCUAAACCUUUGUGGAUAGCAGCUCAAGAAACUCUCGUUAUUUUGUGAACCGUGUUUUCCCAGGAGUAAACAGUACAUGUAUGUGACUGGAUUCUUAGCUGUUGAAGGCUGACUCUUUUCCCCCAGUGUGAACCGAGUAUUUGUUCAUAUUUAGACAGCAUCUAGGUGGAGGUAAUUUAGGCAUUUAAUCAGAUAUAAAGCUGUGCUAAAAACAGGAAGAGCUCAUUAUAGAUUCACAGAUCUGUAUAUGUGUGUGCUCAGGGGUGAAAAUAAUCCUGGGAUACAUUUCAGAGGAAAGAGAUGAGUGAAAAUAAGAAAAAAAAAAAACCUAAUGGAUUUGAGCCCAAGUAAAUGAAACUCUAUUAUUUAAUUAUAGUAUCCUACUGUGAAUAUAAAUGGAAGAUGAGCAAGAAUUUUUUCCCCUGCUUGGAUUAUAGAAGAUUUCAUGACUAAAAGGGAAAGUCUGUCACUCAGAGCUCCACACUAGAGGUCUGAUUCUUCAUAGAGUGAAUCAGGGAACAGAGAAAAUAUUUUGGGAAUUGAGGACGAUAUCUUUUGCACACACUCAAGGUUUUUAUAUCUAACAUGAGUAAAAUUGUACACUGGAAUAAAGGUCUGGUUCAUCCAAUUUCCA
rnacentral:lncRNA from 1 species